rnacentral:lncRNA from 1 species
GAUUCUCCAUUGUACGAAGGACCAUGGUGCAACAAUUGAUGUCAGUUGGCUGGUCGGUUGAUGUUAUAUAUUAAUAUACUUCUGAUAUGGUUCACAUCUUCAGACAAAUUCAGCUGCAUCUUUCUUUAUUAUGGGCUAAUAAUGUCCUUGAUAUAAGACUUUAUAAGCCAACUAUUUACUCCCCAAGUGAUUUUCACAAAUCCCUUUAUGAAUUUCUCAGAGUGCAUACUCGACAUUUGUUGAUCUCAAGUACUUUAGUA